rnacentral:rRNA from 1 species
UACGUAGGUGGCAAGCGUUGUCCGGAUUUACUGGGUGUAAAGGGCGUGCAGCCGGAGAGACAAGUCAGAUGUGAAAUCCACGGGCUCAACCCGUGAACUGCAUUUGAAACUGUUUCCCUUGAGUGUCGGAGAGGCAAGUGGAAUUCCUAGUGUAGCGGUGAAAUGCGUAGAUAUUAGGAGGAACACCAGUGGCGAAGGCGGCUUGCUGGACGAUGACUGACGUUGAGGCUCGAAAGCGUGGGGAGCAAACAGG